rnacentral:rRNA from 1 species
GGCUCAGGAUGAACGCUGGCGGCGUGCUUAACACAUGCAAGUCGAACGAAGCACUUUAUUUGAUUUUCUUCGGAAAUGAAGAUUUUGUGACUGAGUGGCGGACGGGUGAGUAACGCGUGGAUAACCUGCCUCAUACAGGGGGAUAACAGCCGGAAACGGCUGCUAAUACCGCAUAAGCGCACGGUACCGCAUGGUACAGUGUGAAAAACUCCGGUGGUAUGGGAUGGAUCCGCGUCUGAUUAGCCAGUUGGCGGGGUAACGGCCCACCAAAGCGACGAUCAGUAGCCGACCUGAGAGGGUGACCGGCCACAUUGGGACUGAGACACGGCCCAAACUCCUACGGGAGGCAGCAGUGGGGAAUAUUGCACAAUGGAGGAAACUCUGAUGCAGCGACGCCGCGUGAGCGAUGAAGUAUUUCGGUAUGUAAAGCUCUAUCAGCAAGGAAGAUAAUGACGGUACCUGAGUAAGAAGCUCCGGCUAAAUACGUG